GCUUCGUCGGAGCUUGACCGACCCUGACAACGUGCUCCAGAGCUGGGAUCCGAACCUUGUGAACCCCUGCACCUGGUUCCACAUCACCUGCAACCAGGACAACCGCGUCACUCGCGUGUAUGUAUCUAUUUGAUGAAAUGCCUCUAUUUUUUUCUUCAAUCGUUCCUCUUUCUGUUCAUUAUUUUCACCUUGUUCUGUUACCUGUUUGGUGGAUUAGUAGUCUGUGUUCUUUGUUUCUCGGUGCUGUUUGGCUCUUGAUUUAGUGAAACAUGGAGAAAUCUGUUGCCUUUUUGCUGUAAUUUAUGCUUUACUUCUGGUUUAGUUGCUGAAUUUUGAAUUUUGGGGUGGUUAUCGAAGAACGCUAUCUUGAUGAAGUUUAUCUUGUUUUAGGGCAUGAGAAAUUUGUGUGAUUUAUGGUUACAAGAUUUUCUAAACUUGUCUAAAAAUGUUUCUCAGGGAAUACUAAUUCUUUUGAUUGAAUACGAUGAUAUUUUAUUUGAUUGUAUGUUUCUAAUGACUGGCAAACAAAACUCUCAUGUUUUUCAUAGUAUUCGGUGUGAAGAGCUUGAGGUAGAACACAGGUUGAGGUUUUUAUUGUGUCGUAGAUUUAGGGACUAUGUUUUGUACCUCCUCUGAUUGAAGUUGUGGUUGGGUUAAUGGUGUGUUGAAGAGAGGUUGCCUCUGGAAGCUAGGAGAUCGCCAUGAUUAUAGACACUGUUCUAACUGAUAUUAUUCAUUGGAUUAUGUUCUUAUUGAAACUAUUAAGACUUACACAAUGGAUUUGGAGUUAAUAAUCUGAGGAAUCAUAAUUAUGGACAAAAAUUCACAUAGGACUACCAAAUUAUUCAAAGAAGUGUUUUGGAGUUACUGUGAUGAAUUAGUGUCUGAAUUGAGCUAAAUCCUUCAUUCCAUUUACAUGGUACAGAAAUUGAAUGACAGUGGCAUAUUGUUAUCUUUUUGUUUGUGUUUUUAGUUUUAACCUUCCUCUCUUAUAUAAUAUUUGGAACUCUCUUCGAAUGCAUUCUGAUGAUUGUGGAAUAAACUUACACUUGGUUAUCACUUGGAUAGGGAUCUUGGCAACUCGAAUUUGUCUGGCCAUCUUGUGCCUGAGCUUGGGAAACUUGAAUAUCUCCAGUAUCUGUGAGUAUCAUCAUGUAACUCUCACACUUUAUUUCCAAGUCGCAGAUAUGCUUUUUUCUUUUAUUACUUAAUUCUGCAUAAAGAUGCAUGCCCAUAAUCCAUGGUUAUGUUGUAUUUCCUUCUUUCAUGACAACCAUGUUUAUGAAAAUGUCUUUAGAUUUGCUUUGCAGCCUACUGUCCCUGUUACUGUAGCCUAAUAACUACUGACCUUUUCAUCUAGGGAACUGUACAAAAAUAACAUCCAAGGAGAAAUUCCUGCUGAGCUGGGUAACUUGAAGAGCUUAAUAAGUCUGGAUCUAUACAACAAUAAUAUCUCAGGGAAAAUUCCUCCAUCACUGGGAAAUCUGAAAUCCCUCGUCUUUCUGUAAGCCUUACUUCACUUUCUUAUCAGUUAUAUAUACAUUUUUCAUUUUGAGAUUGACUGUGAUGGUUUAUUUUGUUUGCCAUCACACAGCCAAAAGACUGCUGUGCUCAUUAAUGUAUUUUUCAUUAUUCAAUUUGAGAUUGAUGUUGAUGGUUCAUGUAUUUGUGAGAUUAUUUAAACACUUUUUUUCGAUUAAAGCUAACAUUUUCUCACAUUAAAGUAUUACCUCUUUUCCCCGAACGUGAUGCAAAGUCCUUGUAAAAUUUUGAACGAGUUACCACUUCAUUACAAUAUAACCUUUUCAUUCUCUCCCAGACGUCUUAAUGAUAAUCAGCUACAUGGACCAAUCCCAAGGACACUUGCUGGUAUAUCUACCUUGAAAGUUGUGUAAGUGCUACUGAUUUGACUAGUACUUAGUUCUUUUAGUAUGUUUCUAGCUAUAUGUGUGAGAGUAUUGCUAAUAUUUUCAUUUGGUUUUGUAGUGAUGUCUCCAAUAACAAUUUGUGUGGUACAAUACCGUCCAGUGGUCCAUUUGAGCACAUCCCUUUGAACAAGUAAGUUGUUUGAGUCUUGGACAUUGUUUGGAUAUCAAUUUCAACUCUUUUUAUUUGUUUUAUCUAUUGCUGUUUAAUUAUUUUAGUUCAUUUGAACUUCUUUGCUGAAUAUAUCUCGAUCUGGUGUCGUCCCCUUCUGUCCUGCCUUGCAUGAUAUCAAUACACCUUAUCUUCUUCUUUUACAUUAUCAUCACAGCUUCUAACUGCCGUUAGACCCUCCUUUAUAUUUACAUCUAAUGUGAGUCUGGAAUUAUGGAUACAUGGCUUCAAUAUUCUAUACAUUUAGAAUCUCAUUAAGCUAUAAGAUUUGAAAAUGAUCUUAUAGGCUUAGUAAAAUGUCAGUCUAGGAGAUCAAAAGGAGGAGAAUUUUUGUUCGUAUGGUUGUUCUCCCUUUCUUUGUCUGCAAACUGGUUCUGAAGGUUUGGUUACUUCUCUAUGUAUUUUGCAGCUUCGAGAACAACCCCCGACUCGAAGGUCCGGAGCUGCAGGGACUUGCAAGUUAUGACACAAACUGCUCUUAAUCAACUGAUACGAGACACAGAAGUUUGCAGUAACAUAUCCUGGAUGGUGCUUUUUCCUUCUUAAAAAUAUAUGUAUAAGUUGGAGUGUGUUUUGGUAAGAUGCCUAGUCUUGUAAGCUUGUUUAUAUUUUCCGUUGUAGGUGACGGCAAUAAACCGUGGUAAUUCAUGAAUAUCUGUAAUUGGAACUAUAAUUUAUCAUGUAUUUUUUCCUUACUCUACUCACUUGGAGAUAUAUAGAAAGGUACAAAGCCGAAUAGAAAACACAUUUAAUCACUCAAGACGGUUAACCUCCUCUAACUCGAUCAAACAGCACACACUGUACAGAUUUAAUCACAAAAAACGAACCCUUUCCCCUCAGAUAAUCACCAGUCUGCACAUAUAUUACAGCACAUCCCAUAAUUAGGAUAGUUCAAGACAAAGUUUCAACUCAAAACUGCCCUCAAAAGAAACGCUAAAUUUGAAAAAAUAAGGCCAAAAAGAAAAACCUCGCCAAACCGCAAAAACUUCAAGAAAUCAAAUAAAUAACUCAUUCUUGAAGAAACCAUCUUGCUAGCAGAAUGAAAGAACCCCACUCGUAUCGAGCACGAAAAUCAUAUACGAUCAAACUCACGGAGAAGUACCCGACACACUUUCUUUUCCCCAUCUUCUCUAUCGGAAUCACUGGAACUCGAGUCGGAGCUAGAGCUGGAACAGGAACUCGAGCUUCUGGAGAGCUUACCUUUUCCUUUACCAGAAGAUGGAGAAUGCAAGUCUUCAACUGCUUCGUCGUCGUGGUUGGGCCUUUCACCCUCAAAGGCACUGCUAAGGCUAGACUUCUCUUCAGAGGGUCCUACCUUAUCGUCAGCCUUGACUUGGCCUGAUUCAUCAUCCGACUUCAGCUUCAGCUGUUCUCUCGUUUCACCAUCCGAAACUGCACCCUCCAAAGGAACGGCCUCAACAAUGUGCAGUUCAGAAGACGCUCCUUGCGUUUCUCUAGAUUCAACAACAGGCAGAGCAUGAUCAACUAUAGCUGUUUGGUUACCAUUCGCCUCAGCACCAUCACUUGGUCCAACUUCAAGAAGUGAUGCCUUAUUAGUAGAUACUGGCUCACUCAUAUCACUGUGUGGUGCUGUAUCCUCAGCAUCCUCGGUUAUGGUUUCCCCAACAUCACGAUCCUUGAUCUCGUUGGUACCGAUAUGCUGGAACGCCUGAUGAAUAGCUUCGACUGAACUAGCCUCAAUUUCAGGCAUCCCGGAAGUAGAUUCCGUAUCCACUGGCUUAAAAUCAACCGGCUUCUCAAUUGCCUUGGAAAUGAUGUGCUCAAAUGCCAGAUCAAUUUCUUCAACUGUACUAGCUUCGAUUUCAGUAAAUUCAAGAGUAUGGGCUUGAUCUUGACUGGAUACAUCAGCACUUGCCACGGCGACUUCAGUAUGCUUGGGAACAUCUUCUGCCAAUAGGACUUCCUGCUCAGGUGUUCCACAAUCAGUAUCCUCAGCUUGGGGUGGUUCUAGAACGACGUGCUUCUCAAUCUCCACAGAACUGAUUUUCGUGGAAGCAAGAUCAAUAUCUUCUUCAGCUUUAGUAUCUUCAAGUUCAGGAAUCAGAGGUGUAUCUGCAUCAACGGGCUCCAAAACUCGAGGAUUCUCACUUGCCUCGGAACUCAUUUGCUUAAGUGCUGCCAGCUCAAUAUCUUCCACUGUACUAGAUUCAGUUUCAAUCAUAUCAGAACUGGGUACCUCAGCAACUGUGGGAGCAGCAUCAACGUCAGAUUCGGGUACUGCAGAAACAAUAACUUCAUGAUUCUGAAGCUCGGCUUGGGGUGGAUCCAAAACAACGUGCUUUUCAAUCUCUCAGAACUGGUUUGCUUGAAGGCUAAAUCAAUAUCUUCGAUGGAACUAGCUUCGAUUUCAGGCAUCCUGAAAGUGGUAUCUGUAUCAAGUUGACCUUGACAGGAGACCUCAGCAACUUCCACCAUGACUUCAGUUUCCACAGAUGCCAAUUCACCCUUCGUGGCAACAUCGACAGAUUGCACUUCCAUUUCAGGUAUCCCAGAAACAGCAUCUUCAUGAUUGUGAUUCACAAACGAAUCUCCGGGCAUGAAUUCAUUUUCUGUGGACAGUGUUUCCUCGUCGGAUGUUUCCUGAUGUGGAGAAUCAGGGUCCUUUUCGAUGACCUCUGAGACCUCGAGAUUUUCAGCUCUACUUGUUUGAUAUGUUUGUAUCUCUGAAACAUGUUCUGCAGCUUCCUGUCAUACACAUCAAUAUUCUCCCUCGAUUCCUCUGGAAGCAGAAAUUGUUCCAUUUCGCUGACUCCAACCGAGCGAAUCACAUGAUGCGUUGAAGACAAACUUUCUUCUCCAACAGAAUCUACGCGCUUUUCAAACUCAUUCGUGCCAGAUCCCAGCUGUCCGAUGCUAAAGUCCCCAACGUUAUCCAACUCACACAGAAGCCCUUCAUCGAUUUCCUUGAUCUCAUCUGCUUCUUCAACCACUGUCUGCACAUCAAAACGAUAACUAUUUGUCUCGAUAGCACUUGAUGGAGAGUUGGCGUAGCCAUCAAGUUCUUGGACCUCAGGCACGUUCAAAUCAUGUGUAAAUUGAUCAUCCAAAAAUGACUCAACUUGGGUGCUCGAUGCCUGCAUUUUGUUAUCCAAGAGAUCGUUGGCUUAUUUCUAGAUCUGAGGAUGUUAAUACAUCACAUGCUUGCAAAAAAUUUAAACGAUGAUCAACACCUUAAACAGGACACGUCGCAUGGAAGAUACUCUUUAGAAUAUAUGCAUGUUAUAAUUCUCCACAUCUCAGCUCAAACAGAUAACACAUAUAACUAAGAAAGGAAUUUUUGAGAAAACAAAAGAUACAGUAUAACUUACUUGCACUUCAUUGAGAUAGUUGAAAUCUGGCUCUUGUAUUGCACUCUCAUAAAAGAGAGAUGUGUUUCCCUCAGAUGGGAGCAUAGAGAUUAACUUUUCAUCAGCUUCAUGUUCAUAUCACCAUCGGAAUCCGAUGGUGGUUCGACAGUCUCAUCUAUGGAAUUUGAACGUUCUGCCGUUCGUGGUAGACCUUCAAGUUGUGUCUCACUGACUUCAAUUAGGCCAUGAAUAUUCUUAUCAUCAGCGGAGACGGAGACUUCAUCCGAUUCAUGUUUCUCCACGAGAUGUUCCUCCAUCGAAGCCUCACCGUGAGAUCUCGAUAGAGUAUUUCGACUCAAAUCACUGCUCAUAUUUUCCUGAUCUCUUAUAUCAACGACAUCAGCUGGCCUAGACUCAGCUGCUAUUGAUUGGGACAUUGAAGAAUCAGGCAACAUCUCGAUGUUACGAGUAAUGUCUGUCUCGAUUUCCCGGGGAUUCCGUUCAGAUUCUCCCCCAACCGGAAGCACAUCACAAGGAACGGAGGAGGAGGAUGGUGCAUUCUUACCGAGUCCUCGGGGGCUAGAGUCGUAGACAGGAGCCCGUUGUGUUAUGUCGAUUGCCAAUGCACUUGUGAUAUUCAGAUCACUACUUCCUAAAGAAGUUUGGCUCGAGAUGCUUGGUUCUUCGAAAUCUCUGCUUCCCUCUACCAUUGAUAGCCCUUCGCCUUCUGUAUCAAUGAAGACCCUCUCACUCACUUCUGAAAGUGACGAGGAGCUCGAAUCUCUACUGUAUCUCGACUCAACAGCUCCCAAGGUCGAACCAUGACCAAAACCCUGAGCUUCCACGUUUUGGGAUUCUCCAACUUGAUCAUCCCUCUUCUCGACUUGGGCUAACUCUAGAUAAUCUUCGUCUCCCGAAGAUUGACUUCCAUGUCCAAUAUGCUCGGAAACACUCUCCAUCUUGGAGAUCAUUUCCCCGGUGUCUUCCUCCUCUCGGCUAAUCAGCUCUGGAUCACGAGAGGGACCCUCCUCAGCGAUGUCUCUUGCUUGUUCAACAACCUCUCUCUCUGGCAGACUGUCUGUUUCUGGAAGCUUCUUGUCCUCCAUAUCUUCAACUGAAGUAAAUGAUUCAGUUUCAGGAAUGGAGCUCGCCUUUGAGUCACUAAGUCCACUCGACUGUCUCUGAAACAGAGAACUGCUCGACUCUUCGGAGAUUGUUCUCUCUGGAACAAAGUAAGGCCUCAUCUUGACAUCUUGCCUCUUAGGUGCAAACAUCGAAGGUCCGACAUUGAAGCUCUCGUGUCUCCGGAAAAACGGCUCCCUGGGUUGGGACGUGAACUCCUCUUGAAACACAUCUCCCUUAAGGUCAGGCUUCUCCUCACUUGAGUCGUAAGGAAUGUCGAAAGGGUUCCGCCUCUGUAGCAUAACAGAAGGAGCUGAACCAGGAAUGGGAGGCAGUCCUGAAUCAUCAUAAGAAUCUUGAGGGAGAUCGAAUGGAUUCUGUCGUCUAGUUGAAAUAGGAGCAAUGUUGAAAGGGAGAUCAGUACUCUCCAAGUCUAUCAAGUUCCUCUCUGCAAACAAGCUUGAGUUUGUGCUCUUCCUUGCUCUCCUCCUCAUAAUCAGAUUCUCCAAACGUUGGUUUCUCUCGAUCUCAGAGCUUCCGAGAUCCAUGAGAUUCUUCUGGUCCUGCUCCGUCCAUGUAAUGGCGGACUUCGUCUCCUCGUCCUUGUCCCCGUGUGCAUCCUCUUCUUCGUCUUCUCCGUCUUCAUUUUCAUCAUCAUUAGCUUCCAAGUGCUCAUGAUUUUCAGACUCAUCAUCCGACUGGUGACUCGAUUUUAGUGACUUCUCUGAUGCCACAUCUGAGCUACCACGAGAGAGACGAGCAUUCUGAGGGCCGCCCUCCUCAUCCAGCAACGGAUGGAGCUCAUCAAGCAUUGGCAUUAUGUCAGCCAUCGAGGCAUCCGGAGAGGAACUCUCAGCACAAUCAGACCCAGAAUCCAAGCUCUCCUCCUCAUCCUCAUCUCGCUCCUUCUCCUCCUCCUCCCGCUCCUCGACUCGUGCCCACGGGGAGAGGGGAGGCGAAUCCAGAGAAUCCACAUUCACCUUCUCGGAAUCAAAAGAAUCUGCUUCCGAUUUCUCAUCAUCUGAUUCAACUUCACCAUUUACCUUUGCAUCCCCAUUGUUAAGCCUUUCUUCAAUCCACUCACCUUUCUCCUUGUACCUCAGCUCAUCUAACUCUCUCUUCCCUCCCCUUUCCUCACCACCACUCGCCUCACUUCCCCUCGAUCUCUCCUUAAUCAACGGGGCAGUAUCAUCCAGAUCCUCCUCUCUACGAACUUGAGCCGACUUUCCUGCUUCAUCCCGCCAACUAUUCUCAUCAAAUCUAUCAACAAAAUGGUUCUCAUUCUCCUCAACAACAGUAGCAUCACCCAAAACUCCACUCUUAAUCGAUGCAGCCUCUAUCUUCUCUUCGAAUUCGAUUUCGGGUAUAUUUGGUUGCCCAAAACUUAAAAGGGUUCCAAGCAAAACAGCAGUGCAUACAAGUAUGGGAGAUGUAGACACCAAUAAGUGAAAAAUAAAAGGAGAUGAUCUGUACAGAAAUAUCAAGAAACACAGCAUGCCCACAAGAAAUGGAUGACUGCAAACUGUUCUAAAACAUCCUCUGAUUGUAAAUAUCACACCUUUCCUCACUUUAACCCCAAUCUCCAACAAUUCAACACCCAUUUUUCUUCUACUUUCACCCAAAAAAAGGAAAAGGAAAGUGUAUUUCGAGCUAAAUCUGCCAAAAACCCCAAUAACAUCCCGUCAUCAGAUCAAAUCAAAUCACCAUAAAUAACAAAAACAACAGUCGCAUCGAUCAAGAACUUAAAUUGAAGAGCUAUAGAAUGAUAAUUUAAAGAACUUAAAGAAUCAGACAGUACCUGAAAACCAAAACAAGAAUUCCCAGAAAGCUCAAAGUGGUUAUCAAUACCAACUUGGAUAACAGAUCAAUCUAAGCUAAAUCUUGAAUUUUUUUUCUUUGCUUUACAAUCACUCUCUGUUCUUUUUUGCCUCAGCAACAGCUACUGAUCCAAGAGUCUGUCUAU
rnacentral:lncRNA from 1 species